AGUUGAUCCUGGCUCAGGACGAACGCUGGCGGCGUGCCUAACACAUGCAAGUCGAACGAGAAUCUAAUGACGGAGUUUUCGGACAACAGAGUUAGAGGACAGUGGCGGACUGGUGAGUAACGCGUGAGCAACCUGCCUUUCAGAGGGGGACAACAGUUGGAAACGACUGCUAAUACCGCAUAACAUACCGACAAGGCAUCUUGAUGGUAUCAAAGGAGCAAUCCGCUGAAAGAUGGGCUCGCGUCUGAUUAGAUAGUUGGUGAGGUAACGGCUCACCAAGUCGACGAUCAGUAGCCGGACUGAGAGGUUGAACGGCCACAUUGGGACUGAGAUACGGCCCAGACUCCUACGGGAGGCAGCAGUGGGGAAUAUUGGGCAAUGGACGCAAGUCUGACCCAGCAACGCCGCGUGAAGGAAGAAGGCUUUCGGGUUGUAACUUCUUUAAGAGGGACGAAGGACGUGACGGUACCUCUUGAAUAAGCCACGGCUAACUACGUGCC
rnacentral:rRNA from 1 species